AUACCUCUUCAUAAUUGUUUAGACACACAAGUGUGCUAUCUAAGGGAAGGUGUAUGAUUUUGAUAAAGUUUUAUCAAAACAAUCUAGUAUCAGAAAUCUGAACUUUGGUAAGAAAGUCAAUGAAGUAUUGAUUUCUAGAAGUCCAGCUGAUUUCUGAGUACAUGUCAAAGCUAGUGGGAGCAUAAGUGUUAUGCUAAUAAUCAUCAUGUUAGUGGGAGCAUGAUAAUUAUGAUAAGUAUUGCAAGUUAGCAAUGUUAAUUAUAGAAAACAAAAGUUUCAAUUGGGAAAAAGUUGUUUUGCUAUAAUUAAGGGAGAGGAAAUUAUACUUCAUCUCAAAUCUAUAAGCUUAGAUCGUGAGGUUUUAAUCAUUUAGUCAAGGAUAUAUAUAUGAAUUUCAUGUUGGAAUGGCUCAACAUAAGGAAAUUCUGUAUAUGAGUCCAUUAUUUGCGUUCUAAAAUUCGAUUAUGAUUACGGCAUCCCUUUUCAUAAUCUGAAUUAUAAGAACUUGGCAAAUUGAAAUGAAAAUACUAUAGAAAAAGAUUGGUUUAGUCUUUAUAUGAGACAUCAUGAUUCGUGUCCCAUAUGCUUCGGAUAUAGGAUCGAUUACAUGUGAUAUAUUCAUCCAUUCUAAAAUUUUCCAAAAUGCCUGGGGCAUUAAGAAGGGAAAAGGUCUAGAAUUGGAUCUGACUAAAAUGAUUAAGCAAUUGUCGAGGACAAUCUAAGGUUUACCAAAUAUUAGCUGCUUAGGGACAGUUGGAAGUAUGGUGUUAAUUUUCGAAGGACCAUACUGACAUAUUCUGAAAAAAGAGGCAACUCUUGUUCAGAAGUGAUAGUCAAAAUGGGAAUAUGGGAAGGUGGAAGUUAUAUGUGUAAGAUUAGGAAACUUAAUGCGAGAAGAAUGUUCAAAGGCAAUGAACUUUGAAUAUGAGACUUCGGUUCCAUGGACUUGAUCUCCAUUGGAAUACUCUAUAAUGGUUGUUGACAAGGCUUUGUGACUUUGUGCAUAAUCGUUACAAGAGGACCAAUGAAUAUAAGUUUAAAAUCUAACAGAUUUUGAUAAAUGAUAAGGAUUUGGAAUUCUUACCUUUACAAUAAGGAUUUAGGAGUGUGAAAUUAGAAUCAUGGUUCAAUUGGUUUAUUUCACAAUGUAAAGAUCAUAGACAAACAUAGUGUGCACACUUGGUGUAUGGCAUGACUAGUGUUUAGAAAACAUAGUGUACAUGCUUGGAGCAUGGGACAACUAUUGUUUUAAUUCAAGAAUCAAGUUGAUAGCUGAAACAGUAUGCAAUGAAUAAUGUGUAAUCAUAUGGUGAUAAAUAAAAGGUGUUUUAUUUAUAUUCAUAAGUUCUAAGACCAUAUCAGAUUCAAUUAUUCUUGUGUUUCAUUUUGCAUGUUUUGACUUCCAGAAUAAACUAGGUUAUUCUUCCUGAAUGACUAAGUUAUCCAAACCAUCCACAGUCGGUCAUAUGUUGGAAGUAGAUAUGAAUCAAGACUGUCAUGGGUUGACUUCCUGAAUGAACAAACCACCUAACACGUGAUUUAACUAAAAGCUAAAACAAGUAAAAGUUGACCAAAUUUUGAUAAAGAGUUUCUGUGUAGGUCCAACCAAUUCACUCCUAUGGUUAUUUUUAUAAUAAUGUGAUAUAUUAAUUGUUAUUGGUUACCAACUAUAGUGGUUAGGUUCGUAUUCACUAAUACUAACCCUUAGACAAUUAAUCAAUUCAAGCAGUGGCCAAUUGUUUAAACUAAUUAAUUCCCUAGUUCAAUUAUUUGGAUUAAAUAAGAUUUGUAAUUGGUUAAUCAAGUGGGUGGUUCAAUUAACCUUUUGUUUGUUGGUUUCUCAAACAAGCUCACACGUUAAUUUACCCAUUCUCUUAUUAAUUCUAGUUUCAUGUUCAUUAUUCCUAGACAUAUGAUAAAGUGGUCACAUAAACAUAUGAGGUUAACAACUAAGAGAUGUUCAUGCAGUUUAAUUGUCUUCCAAUUAACAUAAAAUAGUUGUGGUUAAUGCAUAAGGUUCUUUAACAAACUUAAUUUAAUAAAAUCACCAAUAAACAAUUAAUAAAAGCAAUAAUUAAACCAGGAGUAAUUUGGUUCUUCCUAAACAUAAACCAUCCGAAUUCGAGCUCAUGAUUACAAGGAAAACAAGCUCAAACACGAAUUUGAUUAAGCUAAACAUAAUUCAAUCCUAAGAUUAAGUGGAAAAUAUAACCUAAUUCGCCUCCAAACUUCAAAAGAUCAAAGGUUAGGGUUCUUCAGGUCUUCAAAGGUUUCUCCAAUCGUGGCUCUAUCUCCAAGGAAGCUAGAAAAGUCUUUAAUUCGGAUAAAGACCCCAUAUUUAUAGUUAUCACAAAACAGGGGCUACUCGGCGAGUAGGUCGUGGACUCGCCGAGUACCAGUGUGAAAUCCGUGUACUGCAAGGAUUUUUAACUUUUCUUCGGGAACAUUCUCAUGGCCUCACCGAGUAGGUUUGUGGUUUUUCCUUUUUCUUCAUUCUUUGGUCUCUAAUCGCUUCUUCUUAUUCCUUUUUGCUUCCAAGCAUGUCUUUUGGACUAAAAACACUAUUUAAGCAUUAUUAAGUACCUUUUGUCCACAUUAUGGACAUAAUUAGCUAAAAAUGAAUAAAAAGAUAUGCUAAACAUAUGGCUAAUUAUGCAAAUAUCAGUUGGCUUUUAGAGGUCUAAGAUGUUGGACAAAGUGGUGCUACAACACUCAUGAGUGCUCAUAAGUUCUGAGUAUUGGAUUCAACCCACGCUCAUUGGAAUCACUUCACGGAUUUUAUCACGAGUGAUCAUGAGAUGAUAAUAUCUUAUAUUCUUCAAACCUAGAGAUAUGAGUUGUUACUAUGAGUUGGUUAUACAUUGAUUGCACGAAAACGCAUUGGUAACUCGAUGUCAUAAAACGUGCCUUUNUUAUAAAACGUGCCUUUGUGUAUGAUUCAACAAGUAGAAAAAAAAGCCAUAUGAGUCGAAGUUUAUCCAUUCCUUUUUACCUUCGGGAUAAAAGCGAUAUAUGUGGGCCCCUCGAUGAUUUAAUGAUGAUACAUGUGAGUGCUUGGCCAAGCCAAUACUGAUUUGAUCUGUUCAACCAGUCAGUCGUCACGAAUCAGAAAUCGGGAAACAACAAAUAGACAGAGAGAAUGAUUUUAAUUCAUGUCUCAGUCUAUAUGAUAUCUAGAAUGGAGGAAUAUAUGAUCCCUUAUCUAAUGGACAAGUCAUUGACAAAGGUCAGAGUUCAUCGACAAGGUCAAAGUUCGACAACGGCUUUUGAGAGCUACGAUUGCCAGUUGGGUUUUGAAGUCAUACUCAAUAAUAGUUUUAGACUUAUCCAAGUGGGAGACUGUUGGAUUAGUGUCUAAGUCCAUAACUAUAAUUGGUAUGUACUUGACCCGACUCGUUAAGGUCUAUUUGGGUUGCAUGGCAUCGGAACAUUUUGAUAGACCGUUUGUGAGAAGAGGACAUUUGUGACAUAUUAAUAUAUUAUAAGUUCUAAUAUAUUAAUAUGAAAUCAGGUUAUUUAAUUAGUAUUGAUCAAGAAUUAAUUUGGACUUAAUUUAGUGAUCAAAAUAGACUAAUUAAAUAUAUGGGGAUUGAUUGUGUAAAUCAUUAAUUCUUAUAUAUGCGGGCUUAUGAUCCAAGAUUCCUUAUGUUAGGUUUAACCCAUGUGGUGACCCAUGGAUAAUCCAUGGAGGUUAAAACCCAUUGAGCAUAAGGAAUGGGUAAAAUCAUGAGUUACAUGGUGUAACCCUAAUAGCCACAGUAUAUAAAGACCCCUUUAGUUCAAGAAAUUGGCAGUAGUGAUAAAUAUAUGAGGGCUAGCCGAUUUGAGCAUAAAGUGUCUUCUUCUCAUGGUUAUUCCAAGUGUUGAUAAUGUUGUGUGAACCAUUUGAGGUGUCACACUUGGGGUAUUAGGCUCUCGAGCUUCAUGAAGUCAAGUCACAUCAAGAGGUAUGUAUUCUAACUUGUUAUAUUACCCCAAGUAUCAAGGAUUGUAUGCUAGAUAGGGUAAUACCUUGGAAUAUUCAUAUUUGCAUGUAUAAUAGAGAAAAAAUAGAUCCAAUGUAUUUAGGGUUGCACGUACACUUAGGAGUGUUAGAAUGCUCAAAACCCAACACUUUCAGUAUUAGAGCAUUGUAUGGGGGUUAUUCCGUGAGUAUUGGUAUGAUGGCCGACACUGGGAGUGGCCGGGAUUGCGGUUUCAGCAGGGGAUCGGUCCUCGAAGAAAUUGGGAAGGUUGUUGCUUAUGGAAAAUGUUGGAUUAAUGUCUAAGUCCAUAACUAUAAUUGGUAAGACUUGACCCGACCCGGCAUGGUCCAUUUGGGUUGCAUGGCAUCAUGCACUUGGAUAAACUUAUUGAGAGAAAUAAGACACUUAUGGUUAUUAAUAUAUUAUAAGUUCUAGUAUAUUAAUAAUAAGAAUAAUAAGAUUAUUUAAUUAGUAUUGAUCAAGAAUUAAUCUAGGAUUAAUUAAGUGAUCAAAAGAAGACUAAUUAAAUAUAUGGGUUGAUUGUGUAAAUCAUCCAUACUUGUAUAGUGGGCUAAUGCUCCAUGGAUAAUCAAGUUGGGCUAAAACCCAUAGGAUGGUCCAUGGAUGCUCCAUGGUGUAUUUGUACCCAUGGAUCCAAGGAAAUGGAAAGCCAUGACAAUUAAGAGUUUACCCUAAUUGUGUAACUAUAUAAGCAUCUUAUUAUUGAGGAAAAAUCGGCCACUAGAGAUAGUGAAGAAAGGGCUAGCCGAUUUUGAUGAGUGUAGAAUUCUCUCAAGUCAUUCUAAGUGUUUUGAUGAUUGUGAUUCCAUUUGAGGUGUCACACUUGGGGCACUAGGCACUCAAGCUUCAUGAAGACUUUCUACACCAAAGAGGUAUGUAUUCUAUCUUGCUAUAGUUAUUGUUUUGUAUGCUAGAUUAGGAUAAUACCUUGGAAGUUCUUAUUUGCAUGUAUAAUAGAGAAAACAUAGAUCCAAGGUAUUUAGGGUUGCAUGUACACUUAGGAAGUGUUAGAAUGCUCAAAACCCAACAGUGGUAUCAGAGCCACGGGUUGUUUUCUGUUAUAUUGAUGCAAAUAUUUUAUUUUCAAAGUUGAAAAAAAAAAAAAAAAAAAACAUGAAGUUUGUCAAAUUUUAAGAUAAUUACUUGUUCUUGUGAAAAACUAAUUAUUUGUAAAAUUUGAAUAAUUUGCUUUAUGAGUUGAAUUAGGUCAAAUUUAAUAAAAGAUAAAAUAAUAUGAUUAUUUUAUUAGUUUUAAAAGUUUGAUCUAAAGAGUUUUAUUUUUUGAAACCUCCAUAAGUUAUGGAUAUGAAAAGGUUUUAAAAAAAAAAUUGAUUCAAAGUUUUUUUGGAGUUACAAAAUUUGGUGUUAAUGUUUUAAAGGAUUCCAUAACUUAAGAAUAAGUUAUGGAUCACCAAAAGUUUUUUGUGUUACCUUGUUUUAUGAGUGAAUUUAGAUUAAUGAAUAAAAUUAUGUGAUAGUUGGUUUUAAUCCAAAUUAAUCUAAGAAUUGAUUCUAAAAUGUGUUUUUGUAACUUGUCCUCAAGUUAUAUGAAAAGUCACAUUUAAGAAUCAUAAAACUCAUAAAAAUUGGCAAAGGUUACAAAAAUGAAGAGUCUAGUUCUAAUUAAAUGGUUUUAUGACUCCAUAACUUGUCCUCAAGUUAUGGAGGACCAAGAGUCUCUUCAUUUAAUAAAAUAAAAUAAAAAAAAAAAAAGUGUAACCUUAAUUAAUUCCAUAAGUUAUAAAAUAAAGAAAAGUUAAUUCUUUUAUUAGUUUAAAGUCUUCCAUAACUUGUCCUCAAGUUAUGGAACUUGAAGAGUUUUUGGAUUAAAACUACUUUAAACACAUAAGUUAUGGAAUUAAUUAGUUUUGAAUAGUUUCAAAACUUGCCCUCAAGUUUUGGAAUUUGUAAAGUUUUCACUUAUGAAUACUUUAAUUCCAAGUUAGCCCUUAGAAUUUUAAAAGUUAAAAUUCAACCCUUAUACUUUAUAAUAUUAUAAGUUAAUAAUAUAUAUAUGUAUAAGAGUAAAGUCAGUCUUACCGCUAGUACGCCUCAUUCACGAAGCCGGUCUAUAAGGUGGGUAUAAGGUUGUUGCCUAUAAAAUGGCAACUUAAUGGGUGUCCACUCUCACCCACCGCUUGCUUGACUGGUGGAGGGUCGUUAGCCGAACGGGUUUGACAGGACUAGAAUUCUCCCUUCAUUAAAAGUAUUAAUGAUAAUACUAAGUAACUAAACUCUUAAUAAUACCCAAUCUUAGUUACUUAGGAAAAAUGUGAAUAAGGUGCUAAUCCAUGAAAUUACACUUUACACUUUGUCUAAGUCGUUAGUGGAGCGUGUGUGGUUAACCGGCACACUAACUUGGACUUAACAAGGUAGGUAAAGGGUGACUUAAUAUUUAUCAUAGUAUCGAUGGAGCGUGUGUGGUUAACCGGCACAUCGAUUGAGGGGUAAUUUAUUAAGGGUACCAAGUGAUUUGCAUGGUUACUUCACACCUUGUUUUGUGAUCCUCGGCAUCCCAGUCACAAAACCUGAAGGGCACACUCGAGAUUGAAACAUGCCUUUGAACAGUUCAAUGAAUCUCAAAGAUCUAGGAGUUUCAAAACCAAUUAAAACCUAAUAAUACAUUUCGUUUAUCUUGGUGGAAAUUGGUGAAUCGUCAUUCACCUACCUUCAAAUAUUUUAUAGCUUGGAUUACGGCAUACCUCUUCUAAGUUAUAAAAUAGUUUGUUGGGUCCUAGCCUUAAUAUUUCAUAUUGGGUGUCAUAUUAAGGACUUUAAAUCAACUAUCUUGAAUAUCUCCCAAAAGAUGUCUGGUUUAGACACCUAUGAUCUUCCCAAAUCUCUUGAAACAAGGUUUCCUAAUGAAGAUGAUGUCCCAUGGAUAUCAUACUUCUUUCUCCUCCUCCAAUUAUUCUCCCUAACCCACAAGUUCUUGAAAAGUUUAAGGUCACUCAAGCCCUAUUGGCAAGGCAAGGUCUAGGUGUGAUCACAUCUUGGAGAUGUAGUCACAUAUUGACAAGCCGGGAGAGUUGGGUGUCAAAGUCUUGAGAAAGUUGGUGGUUCAAUCACUUUCUAAGUCACAUAGUGAGUUCCUUUGGGACACCUAUGAAACAGACUAUGACAAGACCCUUAAUGAUCUUAUCUAUUUGCUAAGAUCAACUUCCUAAAACUUUAUGGACAUUGACAAUGAUGACAUUGGAUAUCCAGUAAAGCAUUCUCUUCCCAAUGGAAAGGGAUCGGCCAUAGUCAACUCGGUUGACCAAAUGGUAAAGAGAAAAGCUAAGUCUGUGAUAGUCUCGUGUACCAUUAUCAAAGGGUCCAUAUGUUUAUAUUGCCAAAGGAAGGGGCAUUGGUUGCGAAGCUGCCAAAUUUACCUAAGGAUGUUAAAGUCAAUAAGUUUGACUCUACUUCAGGUAAAGUCCACUAUCUAACUCUGUUAAGUUUCUAUUCUGAGAUUCCUGAUACAUGAUGUGACUGGGUCACAUGGUGAUGUUUUAAGAAUCAAAGAAAAGUGAAGAAACUUAAAGAAAGAAUAUGCUGAAUCUGAUGGCGUAGAUGGAUUUCUAUCGCAUAGUUUGAAGAUCGGAUUCUUGAGCAACUUCUUAGGAGUUAUGAGAUAUUGCUUAGGAAUAGAUAACAACAAGUUUUCAUAUGGAUUGUAAGGAUAAGUUUUUCCGCAAAGUUUUAAAAUAAAAGAAAAAUUUUUUGAUUUUAUUUAUUUUAAAAUAUCCUUACAAUGGCUUUUGAGGAAAAAUUGUUGCUUAUAUGAUUCCAUUAAGAGCAAGAGUGGAAAUAUGAAAUUGAUUCUUUCAUUUGUGGUAAUGUCUAGAUUUACCAAAUAAGGAAAGAUUCUCAUCACCCAAGUUUCAAUUGGACCGGAACUUGGAAUCAUGCAAGUUGUAUAGCAUGAUGAAUGAGAACUUUCAAGUUUUGGAAAAUUAAGACUAAUUACUCGGCCACAUGGAUGUGUGAGUCAAGUAAAGGACUAAGGGAUCGAGUACACAUUCUUGUGCACUGAUUAAGUCCACCACAAAAGAUUGAUAAGACUAUUCGUCAUAGUUUACUAAAGCUCAGUAAAUAUGAUUAUACUUACAAGCUUAAGUGUAACUCUGAGACAUUGGAAAAGGUUCCAAUGUAUGGCAGGGCGAAUAAGAAGAAUCAAAUUAGGCAGAAGGAUAAAAGUUUCUCAAAUCUGAAAAGAUGGGAGAGUACUUUAGUAUCAGUUUUGUGAUCAUCUUAAUGAUUAAGAAACCAUAUCAAAAUUAGUUCUCUAAGGAAAUCUUAGUGCAUUCUUAUGACUAAGAAGAGGAACUUGAAUUGUUGAAAUGGUUAAAUCAAGAAGAUGAGUCAUACUUCGUUCCAAUACAAGUCUUAGAGUCAUACUCCAAGAUUGUCAUUUGAGUGACAUGUCUUAAAGAAGGUUUAAAACACUUGUCAAAUGUAAGAGUAAAAGUUUUCUACUCUUGUACAUUUGAAAUUGGUAAGUUGUGAUGUUUUGGAUAAAACAAAGACCAACUUAGGCCAAUUGGGUAAAGUGUUUUUCUUGAUUAGAAUCCGCACUAUCUCUUGGAUGUUUGACAAGGGAGUCUUAUAUGUCAAGAGGACAGUGGGAGUCUUAAAGGUCUUGAAAGUCUCAAGAACUAAUCAAGAAUAAAACCUGAAGUUCUUCACUAGCACACGACUUGAGGUUUAUAACCUAUCGUGUUGACAUAUUCUGUGCCCAUUCCAGUUAAAGUUGGCUUUGCAUAUGAGUUCUUAGAGUUCUCAAGUGGUUGCACAACAACUUGGAAGCAAUGGCAGGCCCUUGAGCUGCUAGGUGGCAAGAAAUUAAGAUUGAAUUCAAUCCAUAUGAGUUUGAUUUGUCAUUAUCCUUGUCUUGUGACUAUGGUUAUGACAAUUCACAUGGAUAAGAACACAUACACCAGCAAAUCUAAGUGUCAUAAGGUUUCUCUCCGAUUCAUGAAAAUGAUGGUGAGGAAACACUUUCACUAAGUAGAUUUUAGCUAGAUAGCAAUUGUGAUAUUUGCAUUCUCAAAGUCGUUAGUGGAGCGUGUGUGGUUUACCGGCACACUAACCUGGACUUGUGAGAAGUGGCAAAGGUCUAAACAAUUGAGACUAUAAUUACGGCAUCCCUUUCAUAGUUCUUAAAAUUGUUUAGACAUACGAGUGUUCUAUCUAAGGCAAGGUGUAUGAUUUUGAUAAAGUUUUAUCAAAACAAUCUAGUAUCAGAAAUCUAAACUUUGGUAACAAAGUCAGCUAAUUUCUGAGUACAUGUCAAAGCUAGUGGGAGCAUAAGUGUUAUGCUAAUAAUCAUCAUGUUAGUGGGAGCAUGAUAAUUAUGAUAAGUAUUGCAAGUUAGCAAUGUUAAUUAUAGAAAACAAAAGUUUCAAUUGGGAAAAAGUUGUUUUGCUAUAAUUAAGGGAGAGGAAAUUAUGCUUCAUCUCAAAUCUAUAAGCUUAGAUCGUGAGGUUUUAAUCAUUUAGUCAAGGAUAUAUAUGAAUUUCAUGUUGGAAUGGCUCAACAUAAGGAAAUUCUGUAUAUGGGUCCAUUAUUUGCGUUCUAAAAUUCGAUUAUGAUUACGGCAUCCCUUUUCAUAAUCUGAAUUAUGAGAACUUGGCAAAUUGAAAUGGAAAUAUUAUAGCAAAAGACUGGUUUAGUCUUUAUGUGAGACAUCAUGAAUCGUGUCCCAUAUGCUUCGGAUAUAGGAUCGAUUACAUGUGCUAUAUUCAUCCGUUCUAAAAUUUUCCAAAUGCCUGGGGCAUUAAGAAGGGAAAAGGUUUAGAACUGGAUAUGACUAAAAGGAUUAAACAAUUGUCGAGGACAAUCUAAGGUUUACCAAAGAUUGGUUGCUCAAGGACAAUUGGAAGUAUAGUGAUAAUUCUGGAAGGACCAUAUUGACAUAAUCUGUAAGGAGGCAACUCUUGUUCAGAAGUGAU
rnacentral:lncRNA from 1 species